rnacentral:lncRNA from 1 species
CUGGGACUUGUUAAUGUGAUAGUUUCUCUCCCUGAAAUACAGCCUUAUGUAAGUCUGGUUCCAGGACUGGAGCAACAAAUUAGGAAAGCAGUUUGAGCUUUGUCUGUAACAGAGAACCUGCCACCUUGAGGAAGGGCUUCAGCUCCACUCCCAUCUUUAAAUCACACAGCCAGCGCCGCGGGGAUGAAACUAAGGAGCAAACCAAUAUUUGGCUGCCCAGAUGUACGUUGAAGGCCGGUUCAGCCUUCAGCAAGGAAAAACUUCUGUGCCGUGUCCAAAAUUUCAAGGCGCUGAAUGAGAAGUUCAUCUUCCUGGCACCCUGACAGCGAAUAUUGAUCACAUAACCCCGAGUGCAGGAACUAGGAGACUGCUCAUCCAGCUAACCGCGCCUCACCUGGAUGGUAGCAGCUGUUAGGAAAAAAUAUUGGUCUGUUGACCGUGUUAAAUGGAUGGCACCGCCUCUAAUACAAAUAUACUGUAGGGAAACAGGGAAGGGGAUGCUUCCUGACACCUGUCUUUAAUCUCUGGAUGCUCUGAGUCCCCAAGAUAAGCCAGAACCUGGCCUGAAAGUCCAUGUGGAAAGACAAACUAACUGUGAACCAGACGCAGACAUCAGCGCCCGGGGCGCAGCGCGUACCAAGAUAGCCCACAGCCACCUGCCAGCUUGCCACUGACCUUUUAUCUGCAUAAAUAGUCGUGACCUUUGGGCUGCUCAAAUUAGUGCUAGCUGCUCACCCAGGCCAGUAUCACAGCCCCAUCGUGCACAGGCCUUCCGCUACUUUGACUCUGUUGCCUUCGCUUGGUGAACCAACAGGCAGAGGCACCGUGCUCAUGGCCUCUGUAGGCUGCAAACACCUCGCUGGAGCCUUCGUCCACCACUGAAGGGCACAAAGACCAAGGGAGGGGUCCUGCCACCUGCGGCUGUGUUGUCACUUCUCUGUAGGGCACGGUGAGCCUUCAGCUGCACUCCUGCUUGGGGCAUUAAUUCAGCAUGUCCUUCAG